CACCAUGAUGACAUGAUCAUGCAUUCACUCUCAACCCAUGCAUGCUCCCAUGUCCCCUUCCCUUUGCUGUCAAAGUCUGAAACUUUCCAAUAGGCUUGAAACAGCAACAGCCAGUGCGUCUUCUCAUUUUCCUCUCAGAGGGUUUAGGAGUUUGUCUUUCAUUUUGUUCUUUCAGCCCUGGAGUAUUCAUCACUUGAGAGUGCACAACACUGCUCGCCUUGAGGAACAGCACCUAAGAUGCAUGGCAGACUUUCUGGAAGCCUUCUCAGCUUGUCUCUUUUGCUAGGUGCUGCGGGCGAUUAGCUGGGACCAGAAGCCUAAUCCUAUUUUAAAUCAGGCACACAAGGACAGCACUCCUGAAAACUCUCGCAGCCAGGCAUGCUGUGGGGCCUUCAGUUGGAUCAGGAACCAGCUUUUAUCCUCAAGCCACCGCGGCAGAGCAGCACUGCUGAAUUUACUUGCAAAGUGACUGGCGGGUCGAGCUCCACCUACGUUCACUGGUAUCGAGCCUUGGGCGAUGGGCCGCCACAGCGGCUGCUCUACCUCUCCUUCUCCAAACCGGACGCUUACCGGGAGGCUGGUGUCUCUCCUGAGAAGGUUGCAGCCUUUUUCCCCUCCACAGGCAUCUGCAAACUGGUGGUGCACAAAGUGGGAAGUGCAGAUAGUGGUCGCUAUUACUGUGGAGUGUGGGAGCUCACACGGCUCUCUGGGCUGCCGCAGCUCUUGCACAAGAAGCACAGGGAAUGAUUUCUUGCUACAAGCUCCUCCUUUCUGCAUUCCCCACCUUGCAGCAACAUGUGCUGAUGGCUUCUCAGCUGGAGCAGGAGCUAGGCCAUGCCACGACCCAGCCAAACAGCAGAAGCAAGCCCAUCUGCAAAGUGACUGCUGGAUCAACCCCCACUUAUACUCACAGGUACUGAGUGAUGCCUACACCCCAGAGAGACUGCUCCCUCUCUCACGCUCUCUGGUGCUUACUUUUUAUGGCAAGUCAGCUUCCCUAGAGGCAAACCGCCAGCUGCUGUGAGCACAGACACCUGCAUCCUAUGAGUGCACAGCCUGGAAGACAGUGAGUGAUACUCCUGUGCUGCAUGGAAGUAUGCACAAAACUACAAGUCUCUCUGAGUCCUGAAAAGAAACUACCACAAUGAAAUCAUGUGAGAGCUAUUCCCAAGGACUAACCUCCCACUUGCAUGGUCAUAGCGGCUCUAUCCCCUCUUGGAGCUUGGGACCACUCUCCCUGGACUCUUCCCACAGGCUUGUAGGCAGGGAGCUUGGUAAGCACGUAUUCAUGCAGACUUCCUCCUCCUGGCCCUGCUCAUU
rnacentral:lncRNA from 1 species